rnacentral:rRNA from 1 species
AUGACGGAGAAGGAGGUGGGACGGAUCUUCGUGGGCGGACUGUCCUGGGACACCACGGAGCGCACGCUGGAGCGAGCUUUCGGCGAGUUCGGCAAGGUCAUCGAGACGCAGGUUGUAACAGAAAGAGACACAGGCCGCUCCCGUGGGUUUGGGUUUGUUACAUUCUCGGAACCUCGGGCUGUGGAUGUUGCGAUCCGGGAAAUGCACAAUGGAGAACUAGAUGGUCGGACCAUUUCUGUGAACAAAGCUCAACCUAGGAUGAACAGUGAUGAUGGUGGCUAUGGAUAUGGGGGUAGUAGUUACUCAUCUGGUGCUAGAGGUGGAUAUCGUGGUGCAGCUGACAUAGUACCCACUGCAAGUGAUGAUUGCUUUAAGUGUGGACGCCCUGGACACUGGGCUCGUGAAUGUCUUUAUUCUGAUGGAGGCAGGCCUGGAAGGUACUCUCCCCCUUCCAGGUAUGGCAAUGGCGCUGGUGGGCGUGGUGACCGCUUUGGAGGAUCAGACCGUUUUGGUAAUCGCUAUGUUGAUGAUCGUUAUGAUGGUGGCCGCUAUGCUGAUGAUCGUUAUGGUGGUGGACGCGAUCGCUAUCCUCCAGCUGCUGAUCGUUUUUCUGGCGAUAGAUAUGGUGGUGGUGAUCGUUAUGCAUCAGGUGGCUUUGCCAGGGAAAGAAGCUAUGAGAGAGAUGGAGGGCGGCCAGGUGGAAGUUAUUACCGUGAUGAACCUAGAGGCACUGGUGCUUAUGGCAGGGGUGGUCCACGUGUGGCGAAUGGUGACAGAUAUGGGAGUGGUGGACCUGCUCGCCUUGGCGCGAGUUACCGAGAUAGGCCUGCUCCCUAUGAUCGUCCCACUCAGGGUGCUCGCUCAUAUGAUGACCGCUACUGA